GGAAGUAAAAGUCGUAACAAGGUCUCCGUUGGUGAACCAGCGGAGGGAUCAUUACCGAGUUAUACAACUCCCAAACCCACUGUGAACCUUACCUCAGUUGCCUCGGCGGGAACGCCCCGGCCGCCUGCCCCCGCGCCGGCGCCGGACCCAGGCGCCCGCCGCAGGGACCCCAAACUCUCUUGCAUUACGCCCAGCGGGCGGAAUUUCUUCUCUGAGUUGCACAAGCAAAAACAAAUGAAUCAAAACUUUCAACAACGGAUCUCUUGGUUCUGGCAUCGAUGAGGAACGCAGCGAAAUGCGAUAAGUAAUGUGAAUUGCAGAAUUCAGUGAAUCAUCGAAUCUUUGAACGCACAUUGCGCCCGCCAGCAUUCUGGCGGGCAUGCCUGUUCGAGCGUCAUUUCAACCCUCGAGCCCCCCCCGGGGGCCUCGGUGUUGGGGGACGGCACACCAGCCGCCCCCGAAAUGCAGUGGCGACCCCGCCGCACCCUCCCCUGCGUAGUAGCACACACCUCGCACCGGAACGCGGAGGCGGUCACGCCGUAAAACGCCCAACUUUCUUAGAGUUGACCUCGGAUCAGGUAGGAAUACCCGCUGAACUUAAGCAUAUCAAUAAGCGGAGGAA
rnacentral:rRNA from 1 species